rnacentral:rRNA from 1 species
AUUGAACGCUGGCGGCAGGCCUAACACAUGCAAGUCGAGCGGGGUUUUCGGACCUAGCGGCGGACGGGUGAGUAAUGCGUAGGAAGCUGCCCGAUAGAGGGGGAUACCAGUUGGAAACGACUGUUAAUACCGCAUAAUGUCUACGGACCAAAGUGUGGGACCUUCGGGCCACAUGCUAUCGGAUGCGCCUACGUGGGAUUAGCUAGUUGGUGAGGUAAUGGCUCACCAAGGCGACGAUCUCUAGCUGGUUUGAGAGGAUGAUCAGCCACACUGGAACAGAGACACGGUGCAGACUCCUACGGGAGGCAGCAGUGGGGAAUAUUGGACAAUGGGCGCAAGCCUGAUCCAGCCAUGCCGCGUGUGUGAAGAAGGCCUUCGGGUUGUAAAGCACUUUCAGCGAGGAGGAAGGGUGGUGUGUUAAUAGCACAUCAUUUUGACGUUACUCGCAGAAGAAGCACCGGCUAACUCUGUGCCAGCCGCCGCAGUAAAAC